rnacentral:rRNA from 1 species
CGCUUUCUACAGGCUUAACACAUGCAAGUCGAGGGGCAUCAGGAAGAAAGCUUGCUUUCUUUGCUGGCGACCGGCGCACGGGUGAGUAACACGUAUCCAACCUGCCCUUUACUCGGGGAUAGCCUUUCGAAAGAAAGAUUAAUACCCGAUAGCAUAAUGAUUCCGCAUGGUUUCAUUAUUAAAGGAUUCCGGUAAAGGAUGGGGAUGCGUUCCAUUAGGUUGUUGGUGAGGUAACGGCCCACCAAGCCUUCGAUGGAUAGGGGUUCUGAGAGGAAGGUCCCCCACAUUGGAACUGAGACACGGUCCAAACUCCUACGGGAGGCAGCAGUGAGGAAUAUUGGUCAAUGGGCGCUAGCCUGAACCAGCCAAGUAGCGUGAAGGAUGAAGGCUCUAUGGGUCGUAAACUUCUUUUAUAUAAGAAUAAAGUGCAGUAUGUAUACUGUUUUGUAUGUAUUAUAUGAAUAAGGAUCGGCUAACUCCGUGCCAGCAGCCGCGGUAAUACGGAGGAUCCGAGCGUUAUCCGGAUUUAUUGGGUUUAAAGGGAGCGUAGGUGGACUGGUAAGUCAGUUGUGAAAGUUUGCGGCUCAACCGUAAAAUUGCAGUUGAUACUGUCAGUCUUGAGUACAGUAGAGGUGGGCGGAAUUCGUGGUGUAGCGGUGAAAUGCUUAGAUAUCACGAAGAACUCCGAUUGCGAAGGCAGCUCACUGGACUGCAACUGACACUGAUGCUCGAAAGUGUGGGUAUCAAACAGGAUUAGAUACCCUGGUAGUCCACACAGUAAACGAUGAAUACUCGCUGUUUGCGAUAUACAGUAAGCGGCCAAGCGAAAGCAUUAAGUAUUCCACCUGGGGAGUACGCCGGCAACGGUGAAACUCAAAGGAAUUGACGGGGGCCCGCACAAGCGGAGGAACAUGUGGUUUAAUUCGAUGAUACGCGAGGAACCUUACCCGGGCUUAAAUUGCAGUGGAAUGAUGUGGAAACAUGUCAGUGAGCAAUCACCGCUGUGAAGGUGCUGCAUGGUUGUCGUCAGCUCGUGCCGUGAGGUGUCGGCUUAAGUGCCAUAACGAGCGCAACCCUUAUCUUUAGUUACUAACAGGUUAUGCUGAGGACUCUAGAGAGACUGCCGUCGUAAGAUGUGAGGAAGGUGGGGAUGACGUCAAAUCAGCACGGCCCUUACGUCCGGGGCUACACACGUGUUACAAUGGGGGGUACAGAAGGCAGCUAGCGGGUGACCGUAUGCUAAUCCCAAAAUCCUCUCUCAGUUCGGAUCGAAGUCUGCAACCCGACUUCGUGAAGCUGGAUUCGCUAGUAAUCGCGCAUCAGCCACGGCGCGGUGAAUACGUUCCCGGGCCUUGUACACACCGCCCGUCAAGCCAUGGGAGCCGGGGGUACCUGAAGUACGUAACCGCAAGGAUCGUCCUAGGGUAAAACUGGUGACUGGGGCUAAG